rnacentral:rRNA from 1 species
AGAGAUGUGUGAUGACGCAUAUCAAUAAGCGGAGGAAAAGAAACUAACAAGGAUUCCCUUAGUAACGGCGAGUGAAGCGGGAAGAGCUCAAAUUUGAAAUCUUCAAGGUUCUACCUUGACGAAUUGUAGUUUAUAGAAGUGUUUUCUGUUAGUAGAGUGGCAAAAGUUCUUUGGAAUAGGACAUCAUAGAGGGUGAGAAUCCCGUAUUUGGUCAUUCUUUCUAGCUUUGUGAUACACUUUCAACGAGUCGGAUUGUUUGGGAAUGCAGUCCAAAAUGGGUGGUAAAUUUCAUCUAAAGCUAAAUAUUGGCGAGAGACCGAUAGCGAACAAGUACCGUGAGGGAAAGAUGAAAAGAACUUUGAAAAGAGAGUUAAACAGUACGUGAAAUUGUCAAAAGGGAAGCGUUUGACACCAGUGUUGUUUUUCCGAAAAUCAAUUACGAAUGUUUUGUUUUUGAGAAGUUAUGACUUCAUCGGCUUGCUUCUCUCUUUACGAAACUUUCUUAAUGCACUUUUCGGUUAACAAGUCAACAUCAAUUUCUUUUGUUGUAAAAGGGUAUGAGGAAGGUGGCUCUCUUUUCGGAGAAAGUGUUUAUAGCCUUGUACCUCUGCAAUCGGAGAGAUUGAGGUCUGCAGCGUAGAUCCUUCGGGGUUAGAUACAUUUGUGCUAAGUUAUAGCUUUUCAUAGACAACUUGUUGACUAUGUUAAGUCUUGUAGCUUACUCGCUUAUGCUAUUUUACCUACGCUUAGGAUGUUGAUCUGUAGUGCGUGCGC